AUUGAUUCAAGGUGAAAGUCAAACAUAAUGGUGGCGAGCGUGUGAGCCGCUUUUGUCUCCGCCGCACAAUCUUACAGCUUGUUGAGUCCCCCGAACGUCUGUUUAGAACGUUGUUUGACAUUCUCAAGCAC
ensembl:ncRNA C05A9.5 ncRNA